UACGGAGGAUGCAAGCGUUAUCCGGAAUUAUUGGGCGUAAAGCGUCCGUAGGUGGCACUUCAAGUCUGCUGUCAAAGACCGGGGCUUAACCCUGGAAAGGCAGUGGAAACUGAAGCGCUAGAGUGUGGCAGGGGUAGAGGGAAUUCCCGGUGUAGCGGUGAAAUGCGUAGAGAUCGGGAAGAACAUCGGUGGCGAAAGCGCUCUACUGGGCCAUAACUGACACUCAGGGACGAAAGCUAGGGGAGCGAAGGGG
rnacentral:rRNA from 1 species